UUAAGCGACUAAGCGUACACGGUGGAUGCCCUGGCAGUCAGAGGCGAUGAAGGACGUGCUAAUCUGCGAUAAGCGUCGGUAAGGUGAUAUGAACCGUUAUAACCGGCGAUUUCCGAAUGGGGAAACCCAGUGUGUUUCGACACACUAUCAUUAACUGAAUCCAUAGGUUAAUGAGGCGAACCGGGGGAACUGAAACAUCUAAGUACCCCGAGGAAAAGAAAUCAACCGAGAUUCCCCCAGUAGCGGCGAGCGAACGGGGAGCAGCCCAGAGCCUGAAUCAGUGUGUGUGUUAGUGGAAGCGUCUGGAAAGGCGCGCGAUACAGGGUGACAGCCCCGUACACAAAAAUGCACAUAUUGUGAGCUCGAUGAGUAGGGCGGGACACGUGGUAUCCUGUCUGAAUAUGGGGGGACCAUCCUCCAAGGCUAAAUACUCCUGACUGACCGAUAGUGAACCAGUACCGUGAGGGAAAGGCGAAAAGAACCCCGGCGAGGGGAGUGAAAAAGAACCUGAAACCGUGUACGUACAAGCAGUGGGAGCACGCUUAGGCGUGUGACUGCGUACCUUUUGUAUAAUGGGUCAGCGACUUAUAUUCUGUAGCAAGGUUAACCGAAUAGGGGAGCCGAAGGGAAACCGAGUCUUAACUGGGCGUUAAGUUGCAGGGUAUAGACCCGAAACCCGGUGAUCUAGCCAUGGGCAGGUUGAAGGUUGGGUAACACUAACUGGAGGACCGAACCGACUAAUGUUGAAAAAUUAGCGGAUGACUUGUGGCUGGGGGUGAAAGGCCAAUCAAACCGGGAGAUAGCUGGUUCUCCCCGAAAGCUAUUUAGGUAGCGCCUCGUGAAUUCAUCUCCGGGGGUAGAGCACUGUUUCGGCAAGGGGGUCAUCCCGACUUACCAACCCGAUGCAAACUGCGAAUACCGGAGAAUGUUAUCACGGGAGACACACGGCGGGUGCUAACGUCCGUCGUGAAGAGGGAAACAACCCAGACCGCCAGCUAAGGUCCCAAAGUCAUGGUUAAGUGGGAAACGAUGUGGGAAGGCCCAGACAGCCAGGAUGUUGGCUUAGAAGCAGCCAUCAUUUAAAGAAAGCGUAAUAGCUCACUGGUCGAGUCGGCCUGCGCGGAAGAUGUAACGGGGCUAAACCAUGCACCGAAGCUGCGGCAGCGACGCUUAUGCGUUGUUGGGUAGGGGAGCGUUCUGUAAGCCUGUGAAGGUGUCCUGUGAGGCAUGCUGGAGGUAUCAGAAGUGCGAAUGCUGACAUAAGUAACGAUAAAGCGGGUGAAAAGCCCGCUCGCCGGAAGACCAAGGGUUCCUGUCCAACGUUAAUCGGGGCAGGGUGAGUCGACCCCUAAGGCGAGGCCGAAAGGCGUAGUCGAUGGGAAACAGGUUAAUAUUCCUGUACUUGGUGUUACUGCGAAGGGGGGACGGAGAAGGCUAUGUUGGCCGGGCGACGGUUGUCCCGGUUUAAGCGUGUAGGCUGGUUUUCCAGGCAAAUCCGGAAAAUCAAGGCUGAGGCGUGAUGACGAGGCACUACGGUGCUGAAGCAACAAAUGCCCUGCUUCCAGGAAAAGCCUCUAAGCAUCAGGUAACAUCAAAUCGUACCCCAAACCGACACAGGUGGUCAGGUAGAGAAUACCAAGGCGCUUGAGAGAACUCGGGUGAAGGAACUAGGCAAAAUGGUGCCGUAACUUCGGGAGAAGGCACGCUGAUAUGUAGGUGAAGCGACUUGCUCGUGGAGCUGAAAUCAGUCGAAGAUACCAGCUGGCUGCAACUGUUUAUUAAAAACACAGCACUGUGCAAACACGAAAGUGGACGUAUACGGUGUGACGCCUGCCCGGUGCCGGAAGGUUAAUUGAUGGGGUCAGCGCAAGCGAAGCUCUUGAUCGAAGCCCCGGUAAACGGCGGCCGUAACUAUAACGGUCCUAAGGUAGCGAAAUUCCUUGUCGGGUAAGUUCCGACCUGCACGAAUGGCGUAAUGAUGGCCAGGCUGUCUCCACCCGAGACUCAGUGAAAUUGAACUCGCUGUGAAGAUGCAGUGUACCCGCGGCAAGACGGAAAGACCCCGUGAACCUUUACUAUAGCUUGACACUGAACAUUGAGCCUUGAUGUGUAGGAUAGGUGGGAGGCUUUGAAGUGUGGACGCCAGUCUGCAUGGAGCCGACCUUGAAAUACCACCCUUUAAUGUUUGAUGUUCUAACGUUGACCC
rnacentral:rRNA from 1 species